UAGGAGCCAAGGUAAAUGAUGAGGACUC
rnacentral:piRNA from 1 species